GUUACACAGGGAAAGGUGCAAGUUACAACUUGCAGACCCUCAUUCUUUCUAAAAGCAUUAAGUGUUGUAUCUGCAUCGCUGUAGGUUCGGUGCAGCAUUGGAACAGCUGGCCUUUAUCGAAUUUCGUGUUGAUGUGGAGAUGCAGUUGUUGGUCUGUAGUGAACAAGAUCUCGUGGUUUCUUCAGCAUGUUGGCUGCACAGCAUCCUAGGCAGAAGCAGUAACUUCUUCCAAAACGUUCAGUCCAAUUUGUACUCACUGGAUAGUCAAGGGCAAAUGGUAUAUUGGCCUUCAUAGUGAGAGGAUUCGAGUACAGGACCAGAGUGGAC